GAUGAACGCUGGCGGCGUGCCUAAUACAUGCAAGUCGAGCGAACGGACGAGGAGCUUGCUCUUCUGACGUUAGCGGCGGACGGGUGAGUAACACGUGGAUAACCUACCUAUAAGACUGGGAUAACUUCGGGAAACCGGAGCUAAUACCGGAUAAUAUUUUGAACCGCAUGGUUCAAUAGUGAAAGACGGUUUUGCUGUCACUUAUAGAUGGAUCCGCGCUGCAUUAGCUAGUUGGUAAGGUAACGGCUUACCAAGGCAACGAUGCAUAGCCGACCUGAGAGGGUGAUCGGCCACACUGGAACUGAGACACGGUCCAGACUCCUACGGGAGGCAGCAGUAGGGAAUCUUCCGCAAUGGGCGAAAGCCUGACGGAGCAACGCCGCGUGAGUGAUGAAGGUCUUCGGAUCGUAAAACUCUGUUAUUAGGGAAGAACAUAUGUGUAAGUAACUGUGCACAUCUUGACGGUACCUAAUCAGAAAGCCACGGCUAACUACGUG
rnacentral:rRNA from 1 species